CUUUAUGAAAACUCUAGAGUUAGAGCUUUCCCCUUCGGGGGAAAAGUGACAGGUGGUGCAUGGAUGUCGUCAGUCCGUGUCGUGAGAUGUUGGGUUAAGUCCCGCAACGAGCGCAACCCUUAUCUUUAGUUGCCAUCAUUAGGUUGGGCACUCUAGAGAGACUGCCGGUGACAAACCGGAGGAAGGUGGGGAUGACGUCAAAUCAUCAUGCCCCUUAUGAUUUGGGCUACACACGUGCUACAAUGGAUGGUACAAAGGGCAGCAAAACCGCGAGGUCAAGCAAAUCCCAUAAAACCAUUCUCAGUUCGGAUUGUAGUCUGCAACUCGACUACAUGAAGCUGGAAUCGCUAGUAAUCGUAGAUCAGCAUGCUACGGUGAAUACGUUCCCGGGUCUUGUACACACCGA
rnacentral:rRNA from 1 species